AUUAUAAUAUAGUAGAACUUAAGUUCGUUCAUAACGUUUUUAUUUAGUUUAUGAACCGUUGAUAUUUUCUUUAAUUUGCAAUUUUUAAUAUUGCUAUAAUUAAUUUUAAGUAUUGGUCCUAAGUAGUGCUAUUUAUUAUUCUUCUUACCCCUAUAAAAUGUCACAAAGCCAAAUCAAAAACUUUUACAAGGGCAAAAAUGUGUUGCUUACCGGCGGAACUGGUUAUUUUGGAAAAUUACUUAUAGAAAAGCUACUUAGAACCACAGAAGUAAAUAAAAUCUACCUAAUUGUUAGAUCAAAACAAGAUAUGCUCUCCGAGAAACGCGUUGCUAAAAUGUUCGAGGAACCGGUGUUUUAUAAUAUAUCAAAAUCAUUAUUCGCUGAAAAAGUAUGUGCAAUAGAAGGGGACCUCAGGCAAAAAAGCGUCGGACUAUGUAAAGAAGAUAUCAAUAUUAUUCAAAAUAAGAUUAAUGUAGUUUUCCACUGCGGCGCCUCCUUAAACAUGGAUUCGAAAUUAGCUGAAGCCGUAAUGACAAACGUAAACGGAACAGCAGAAAUUUUAGAAAUAAUGAAAGAAGCACAAAGCCUUCAAGCCUUUAUUCUGGUAUCCACGGCGUAUUCAAACUGUUUGAAUAGGAUAAUUGAAGAAGUUUUCUACGACCCGCCAAUCGAUCCCAAAUUGUUAAUUAAAAUAGCCAAGGAGAUGAAACCGGAGCUUUUCAAUAAUAUAAGCCGAGAGAUACUAGGAAAGUGGCCAAAUUCAUAUUCUUUUACCAAAGCUGUAUCAGAAAAUCUUUUAAUUUACAAAGGACAAAAUCUUCCUGUUGGUUUGUUUCGGCCUACUAUAGUAACUUCCACUGUAUCGGAGCCCAUUCCGGGAUGGACCGACAAUCUCUAUGGGCCCCUGGGGAUUCUCUUAUCUUCGGGUUGUGGAAUUUUGCGUGUAGUGCGAGGUAUGCCUGGAAUAAGAGCGGAUACAGUGCCCGGGGAUAUGGUAAUUAGCGGACUUCUUUGUUAUGCAUGGGACGUAGCUACUCAAUGGAAUAAGGACCCCAAAACUUACAGAGCCCAAGUUAUAAAUUUUUCUGGGAAAUCCAGUCCGUUAUAUAUGACAAUCAGAGAAUAUACAACAAAAGUUGCUGAGAGUGGGUAUGUACCAUUUAGAAAGAUGAUAUGGAAGCCGAUGCUUUUAAUUGUAAAUAACUCUUGGAUAUUUUUAUUUCUUAAAUUUGUUUUGCAUACUGUACCUGGAUAUAUCAUUGACGUCUUUUCCAUAAUAGCAAGACAAAAACCUCGAAUGAAAAAGAUUUACUCAAGAUUAGACAAGGUAAUGGGCGUAUUACAUUACUUUCUCAUACAGGAGUGGGUCAUAAAAGACGAGAACGUGAAAGCGUUAUGGGAAAAACUUAGCCCCCAAGAUCGUAUUACUUACAACUUCGACGUAAUGGCCAUCAAGAGAGAAACUUACUUUAAGAAUCUCAUGGCCGGCUUAAAGAAGUACACGCUCAAAGAGGAUAUGUCGAAGGGAAAAUAUCAUGAAGCCAGAUAUAAAAGAAUGUGUUCUUAUGGAGCAAAGCAAAAGCGUUUACUUCAUUUAUGAGAAGAAACGAAAGAUAACGAUCUUGCGGAGCACGAGGCAUCCGAUUCGGAAGCAGUGAAAAAGUAAAAGGUCAGCUAAUUCUGAUGCAGAUUUAUUGGGAUCUGUUGUAUCAAGCAGCUCGGGCUUCAGCAGAGAAAGUGAGCUUAUUGGUAGAGUACAAAAUGGCAACAGAGGUACCGAAAUUUAGCUGUAAAGGAAUUUCGACAAACUCACUUUUAGUGAUUCUGCAAUCGAGAUUUUGCAGUAUUAGUUUAUCUCACAGGAUACGAAGAUUGUAGAGAAUAGUGUAGAGAUUAAAUGUUUGUUUUAA
rnacentral:misc_RNA from 1 species